UGGGGAAUAUUGCACAAUGGGCGCAAGCCUGAUGCAGCAACGCCGCGUGAACGAUGAAGGUCUUCGGAUCGUAAAGUUCUGUUGCAGGGGAAGAUAAUGACGGUACCCUGUGAGGAAGCCCCGGCUAACUACGUGCCAGCAGCCGCGGUAAUACGUAGGGGGCUAGCGUUAUCCGGAUUUACUGGGCGUAAAGGGUGCGUAGGCGGUCUAUUAAGUCAGGUGUGAAAGCGUGAGGCUUAACCUCAUUAAGCACUUGAAACUGAUAGACUUGAGUGAAGGAGAGGAAAGUGGAAUUCCUAGUGUAGCGAUGAAAUGCGUAGAUAUUAGGAGGAAUACCGGUGGCGAAGGCGACUUUCUGGACUUUUACUGACGCUCAGGUACGAAAGCGUGGGGAGCAAACAGG
rnacentral:rRNA from 1 species